CGAUUGUUUCCAACAACCCCAUACGAACUCCACAAUUUAAAUAAAAAUGAAAAUCUUCUGUUUGGUAAUAACUUUUCUAUUCCUUGUGGGUAUUUUCGCAAAUGAUUAUGCGAAAUAUAAUGAUCUGGUGGGCCUCACAACUGCAGGCAUCCGUUAUACUUAUUUUCAGCCAAUGUCUGUAGAAGGUAGACCUGGAGCAAAUGCAACAGUAUCUAAGUUGGAGUAUCUAAUUGAGAAAAUGGUUGAUGAUGUCAAUAAUAACUAUAAAUACCAAGAAUUCCGUAA